rnacentral:rRNA from 1 species
GAUGAACGCUGGCGGCGUGCCUAAUACAUGCAAGUCGAGCGAACGGACGAGAAGCUUGCUUCUCUGAUGUUAGCGGCGGACGGGUGGGUAACACGUGGAUAACCUACCUAUAAGACUGGGAUAACUUCGGGAAACCGGAGCUAAUACCGGAUAAUAUUUUGAACCGCAUGGUUCAAAAGUGAAAGACGGUCUUGCUGUCACUUAUAGAUGGAUCCGCGCUGCAUUAGCUAGUUGGUAAGGUAACGGCUUACCAAGGCAACGAUGCAUAGCCGACCUGAGAGGGUGAUCGGCCACACUGGAACUGAGACACGGUCCAGACUCCUACGGGAGGCAGCAGUAGGGAAUCUUCCGCAAUGGGCGAAAGACUGACGGAGCAACGCCGCGUGAGUGAUGAAGGUCUUCGGAUCGUAAAACUCUGUUAUUAGGGAAGAACAUAUGUGUAAGUAACUGUGCACAUCUUGACGGUACCUAAUCAGAAAGCCACGGCUAACUACGUG